CGCCCCGCCCGCCGCGCGCGGCGGGCGGGGCGGGGGCACGGGGGGCCCCAUACGGGAGGCAGCAGUGGGGAAUAUUGGACAAUGGGCGAAAGCCUGAUCCAGCCAUGCCGCGUGUGUGAAGAAGGUCUUCGGAUUGUAAAGCACUUUAAGUUGGGAGGAAGGGCAGUAAGUU
rnacentral:rRNA from 1 species